GUUUCUCGCUUCUCUUCCUGCCCCCGUGGUUUCGGAAGACGAACAGCAAGAAGCAGUGCAGUUGCAGAAAGAGAAAGAUGAUCUACAGAAAGUGGAGUCUCCUUACUGGUCCGCCUGCUAUAGUGGGCUCUAUCGUGGCAACGGUGGUGGUGGCGAAUUUCCUCUUCGUAAAAAAUGAUCCAUUUCUUAAACCAGAGGAAAGGAAGCAACAGACAUCACCAUUGAUGAAAUAGACUUGGAUUGCAGAGGCAAUGAUGCCUAAGAUGUUCUUUAGUUUUGUCUGCUUCUGUGUGGGUUUUGUGUUCUCGCAUGUGGAUUUCCUCACUGUUUAAACAGCAUUUUGGAAAAUGAAAUUUUAGUUGAAUAAAAUUGAGAUUUGGAGUCCAAGUU